rnacentral:sRNA from 1 species
CCCAGCACUGAAGUGCUGGGCUAUUAUCAAUUUGUCCCUACGGGACA